rnacentral:rRNA from 1 species
AGCAGCCGCGGUAAUUCCAGCUCCAAUAGCGUAUAUUAAAGUUGUUGCAGUUAAAAAGCUCGUAGUUGAAUUUCGGGGUCAGUAGGUUGGUCGUGCCAAUGGUAUGUACUGGCUUUACUGAUUCCUCCUUCUUGAAGAACUGUAAUGCCAUUAAUUUGGUGUUGCAGGGAAUCAGGACUGUUACUUUGAAAAAAUUAGAGUGUUUAAAGCAGGCUUACGCUUGAAUACAUUAGCAUGGAAUAAUGAAAUAGGACGUUGAUCUUAUUUUGUUGGUUUCUAGGAUUGACGUAAUGAUUAAUAGGGAUAGUUGGGGGCAUUAGUAUUCAAUUGUCAGAGGUGAAAUUCUUGGAUUUAUUGAAGACUAACUACUGCGAAAGCAUUUGCCAAGGAUGUUUUCAUUAAUCAAGAACGAAAGUUAGGGGAUCGAAGACGAUCAGAUACCGUCGUAGU